UACGGAGGGUGCAAGCGUUGUCCGGAUUUAUUGGGUUUAAAGGGUGCGUAGGCGGCCCUGUAAGUUCAGUGGUGAAAUACUGCAGCUUAACUGUAGCAUUGCCAUUGAUACUGUGGGGGCUUGAGUACAGAUGAGGUAGGCGGAAUUGAUGGUGUAGCGGUGAAAUGCAUAGAUACCAAUCAAGAACACCGAUUGCGAAAG
rnacentral:rRNA from 1 species